rnacentral:rRNA from 1 species
UACAGAGGUCUCAAGCGUUGUUCGGAUUCAUUGGGCGUAAAGGGUGCGUAGGUGGCGCGCUAAGUCAGGUGUGGAAUUUCGGAGCUUAACUCCGAAACUGCAUUUGAUACUGGCGUGCUUGAGGACUGGAGAGGAGACUGGAAUUCAUGGUGUAGCAGUGAAAUGCGUAGAGAUCAUGAGGAAGACCAGUGGCGAAGGCGGGUCUCUGGACAGUUCCUGACACUGAGGCACGAAGGCCAGGGGAGCAAACGGG